UAUAAAGUAAUACAAAUAAAUAUAAUAGGAUAUAUAUAUAUAUAUAAGCAUUCUGUAAGUCCACAGAUGAUACUUUUAACAGAAUAUUGCAUGCAGAGAAGACAAAUACAUACCUUGAGUAAGUGUCUAUUAGGUCUAAUGUAAUCAACCUGCCAUGCCACCAUAUGCUUGGCUAAUCAUAUCAGUGGCUUAGUGUUGGCCUCUGGGGCUGGCAGAUUGGGCACCAGCAGUAGCCAUGGCCAGGUUGGCCUUUGUGAGUGGAAGUCUGUGUUGCUGAUCCUAUGCUAACUUCCAUUCCUGCCACCAUGACCACUUUGUUCAUGAAUCUGUUGCACAAUUACAGAAAUGGCUGAGGAAAGAGACUUACUGGUAUCUACAGACUGGGUCAUCCUAUCUACUUGUUUUUUACAAUUCUCCUCUACUGAGGUCAUCCUUUGCUGAUCAUAGCGAACUUCCCAUGAGGUUACAGCUACAGGCUGAGAAGAGGAGCCAUUGUAGCAAAGCAGAAACCAUGGACAUUUGUGCCACUUCUUCAUGGACCUUACUUGUGCCUUCAGGACCUGCCUGGGUUUGAUCAUGUAUAUACCACUUACAUUGAUGAUGAAGUGCUGCUGUGCAUGCCUAACUUUAUGGCUUGGUGGAUCAGAGAACAUCCAGUUCAUAAUAGGGAUCUUGGGUCACAUGGUAACUUGGUGGCCUGUGGUCAAGCUUUCAGUUUCUACUAAGGCUCAGUAGCAGGCCAAGAGCUGUCUCUCAAAAAGAGAGUAGUUAUUUGUGGAUGACAGCAGGGCAGUGCUCCAAAAUCCUAAAGGCCUUUGUUGCAAUUCACCUAUGGAGGCCUGCCAAAGGCUGCAAACAUUAUCCCUAUCUGCCACUGACACCUCAAGUACGCUUGGAGCUGCUAGGUCAUAUGGCCCAAGUGGCAGAGCAGCUUGCACAGCAGCCUAGACCUGUUGUGGAGCCUUCUCCUGCUUUAGACCCUACUCAAAACUAGCAGCUUUUUGAGUUUUUUGGUAAAUGAGCUAGAAUUUACCAAAUGGAAUUUCACCCCUGUGGUUUGAAUGUCUCCCCUCUAAAAUUCAGGUCUUGCCAAUUAGAUAGUAUUAACCCUUUUCCUGUUUAGAAUUUUAAAAAUGCAGCUCAUGGCCAGCACUCAUUUAAUUUUACUUAAACAUGCUCUUUGAGGCUGCAGCAAAUCUGACUUGAUUUUCCAAUGUGAAAAUAAAAUAUAAAAACUGUUCUUGGCUGGCGUUAUUUCUAAACAGAACUAAUAUCAGAAUUGAUUAGAUCAUCAGAAUCGUCUAUUUCAGAAAAAUCAGAUUCAUCAAAUGAAUCCUUGGCCAACAACUGUCAGAACGAUGUUAACAUCACAUGUAGAAAUGCUGCAUUUUCUAGGAUUUGACAUUUUCAGUGAAUGCAAAUAACUGUAUUUUGUAAAUGAAAAUACCACUACUAAAUGUAGAAUGCUAUAAAUAGAAUGAUGUCUUUUGUUUCCAAAGUCGAUAUGCUAGAGCAAUGCGAAAAUAAUAAUAAGAGUGAAAUAUUUCAUAGCAAAGUUAUCUCAGGGUAAUUGCUACAGCUGCAAGCACCACCGGUGAGUAUUCUCAGCAAACAGGAAAAGGGUUAAGAGGCGGGGCCUUUAAGAGGUGAUUUAAGCCAUGAGGGCUGCUUCCUCAUAAAUGGGAUUAAGACCUUUUUUUAAAAAAAAAAAAAGCUUUGUCUAGCAUUUGACUCACUUAACUCCACCAUGUAAAGACACAGCAUUUCUCCUUUCUGAAGGAUACACCCCUCACCAGACAACCAAAUCUGCCUAUUUAACCUUGAUCUUGGACUUCCUAGCCUCGAGCACUGUGAGAAAAUAAAUUUAUUUUUUGUAAAAA